CAAACUCAUUUGGGAAAACAAAGCUUAACAGGAACUGCACGCUAUGCUAGUUGCAAUACCCAUUUGGGAAUAGAUCAGAGUCGUCGGGAUGAUUUGGAGUCACUUGGAUAUGUUCUUCUGUACUUCUUAAGAGGAAGCUUUCCUUGGCAGGGUCUAAAAGCUGCAACAAAGAAGCAAAAAUAUGAUAAGAUUUAUGAGAAGAAGCUAUCAACUCCCAUUGAGGUGGCUGAAAAUGUGAAGUUGAUUUCUCAAAUCACAGAUGUUUUUAGGACUCUUCAAGAUUCCCCAGUAGAGGAUAUCCGUAAUCCAAAGCAAUCUAGCAUAAACAGUUCAGUAUGCUCGUUACUUCUUGAGCGUGGGGAAGCACGAAGGGUUAUUCCUUGGUAACACAUUUAUAAGGAUUCCGUUGUAGACGUUGUUGUAAUUCUUGUACUUUUAUUCGGAUUGC